rnacentral:rRNA from 1 species
UAUGUGAUCGUCUCUCGCAUAUCAAUAAGCGGAGGAAAAGAAACUAACAAGGAUUCCCCUAGUAACGGCGAGUGAAGCGGGAAGAGCUCAAAUUUGAAAUCUUAAAGGGUUUCCCCUUACGAAUUGUAGUUUAAAGAAGUGUUUUCUGUUGAGGUUUUGGUAAAAGUUCUUUGGAAUAGGACAUCAUAGAGGGUGAGAAUCCCGUAUUUGACCUUUACUUUCAACUUUGUGAUACACUUUCAAAGAGUCGGAUUGUUUGGGAAUGCAGUCCAAAAUGGGUGGUAAAUUUCAUCUAAAGCUAAAUAUUGGCGAGAGACCGAUAGCGAACAAGUACCGUGAGGGAAAGAUGAAAAGAACUUUGAAAAGAGAGUUAAACAGUACGUGAAAUUGUCAAAAGGGAAGCGUUUGACACCAGUGUUGUUUUUCUGAAAAUCAAUUAAAGAACUGUUUAUGCUAAGUUGUUUAGACUUUAUCAGCUAUCUGUUUAGUUUUGAGCUUUUCUUUAAUGCACUUUUCAGUUAACAAGUCAACAUCAAUUUCUUUUGCUGUAAAAAAGCUUGAGGAAGGUGGCUUGAGAUUCGUCUUAAGUGUUUAUAGCCUCUUGCCUAUGCAGUCGGAGAGAUUGAGGUCUGCAGCGUAGAUCCUUCGGGGCUAAAUGCAUUUGUGCUAAGUUAUAGCAUUUUAUAGACAACUUGUUGACUAUGAUUUGUCUUGUAGCUUACUCGCUUAUGUUAUUUUACCUACGCUUAGGAUGUUGAGCGCAUGUCUCUCUCU